rnacentral:rRNA from 1 species
UACGGAGGGGGCUAGCGUUGUUCGGAAUUACUGGGCGUAAAGCGCACGUAGGCGGCUUUGUAAGUUAGAGGUGAAAGCCUGGUGCUCAACACCAGAAUUGCCUUUAAGACUGCAUCGCUUGAACGUCGGAGAGGUGAGUGGAAUUCCGAGUGUAGAGGUGAAAUUCGUAGAUAUUCGGAGGAACACCAGUGGCGAAGGCGGCUCACUGGCUCGGUACUGACGCUGAGGUGCGAAAGCGUGGGGAGCAAACAGG